rnacentral:rRNA from 1 species
CCUUUAAUGUUUGAUGUUCUAACGUGGACCCGUGAUCCGGGUUGCGGACAGUGUCUGGUGGGUAGUUUGACUGGGGCGGUCUCCUCCUAAAGAGUAACGGAGGAGCACGAAGGUUGGCUAAUCCUGGUCGGACAUCAGGAGGUUAGUGCAAUGGCAUAAGCCAGCUUGACUGCGAGCGUGACGGCGCGAGCAGGUGCGAAAGCAGGUCAUAGUGAUCCGGUGGUUCUGAAUGGAAGGGCCAUCGCUCAACGGAUAAAAGGUACUCCGGGGAUAACAGGCUGAUACCGCCCAAGAGUUCAUAUCGACGGCGGUGUUUGGCACCUCGAUGUCGGCUCAUCACAUCCUGGGGCUGAAGUAGGUCCCAAGGGUAUGGCUGUUCGCCAUUUAAAGUGGUACGCGAGCUGGGUUUAGAACGUCGUGAGACAGUUCGGUCCCUAUCUGCCGUGGGCGCUGGAGAACUGAGGGGGGCUGCUCCUAGUACGAGAGGACCGGAGUGGACGCAUCACUGGUGUUCGGGUUGUCAUGCCAAUGGCACUGCCCGGUAGCUAAAUGCGGAAGAGAUAAGUGCUGAAAGCAUCUAAGCACGAAACUUGCCCCGAGAUGAGUUCUCCCUGAGACUUAGAGUCUCCUGAAGGAACGUUGAAGACGACGACGUUGAUAGGCCGGGUGUGUAAGCGCAGCGAUGCGUUGAGCUAACCGGUACUAAUGAACCGUGAGGCUUAACCUUACA